UUAAAAGAACCUUCUUUUAGACUUAAAAUUUUUAAACUUGAUAGAGAAUAGUAUUGUGAAAGAAAGGUGAAAAGAAAUUUAUUGAAUGUUUAAUCGAUUCUGAAAUUUAAUGCGGUUUUAUAAUUAAUGCGAAAUGUGUUAAUGUACCUUUUGUAUAAUGGACUGAUGAGUUUAUUAAAAUAGCAAGCUAAAAUUAAUAAAGGCGUAUUGAAAUAAAAAUAUUAGUUAUUUUAAUAAUACCCGAAACUAAACGAUCUAAAUAUGGUUAGGUUGAAAAUUUAAAAAAUUGGAGGACCGAACUUCUAGAUGUUGCAAAAUCUUAAGAAAAACUGUAUUUAGGGGUGAAAGGCUAAUCAAGUUUAGUAAUAGCUGGUUUUCUACGAAAUCUAUUUAAGUAGAUUGUAUUAUAUUUUUAGAUAUAGGUAAAUUAAUUUGAAUAAAUAAUUAAAAUUUAAUUUUAAUUUUAUAUUUUUAAUAAAAUAAUUAUAUCUGAAUAUUUUUAUAAACAGAUUAUUAGCGCUAAGGUUAAUAUUCAAAAGGGAAACAGCCCAGACCAUAUAAUAAGGUUUUUAAUUAUAGUUAAUUUUUAAGAAUAUGUAUUAAUUUUUUUAUAAAAUGUUGGAUUGGAAUCAGCCAUCAAAUAAUGAAAGCGUAAAAGCUCAUUAUAAUUUUUUUUUUUUUGAAAAAUAAAAAUAUUAAUAUGUGUUUAUAAAUUUAUAAAAUAUACUAUAAACCGAAUUUAUGGAACCUAUUUAGUUUUAAUAGGUUGGUAGUAGAAUAUUUUGUAUUUCUGUAAAGAAAAAUUGUUAAAUUUUUUGGAGAAAUCAAAAGAAAUUAUAUCAGUGUUAGUAAUAGAUGUAAUGUGGAAAUCAUUACCGCAUAAAAAAUUUAUGGUUGCUUUGUACUUGAUAAUCUGACAAAGUGUGAUACGGUGUCUAAUGCUUAUAUAUUUAUAGAAAAAGCAGAUGAAUUUAUUUUAAUUAAAUUUUUAUUUUAAUUAAAUUUUUAUUUUAAUUAAAUUUUUAUUUUAAUUAAAUUUUUUUUUGAUAAAAAUUUUAAAAAUCUGGAAAAUUUAAAAAUAAUAACCGUACUAAUACAAACACAUGUAAUUUGGUUUAAUAAAUAAAUGCGUAAAGUGUAAUAAUAUUGAAGGAACUUGGCAAAUUAACCUUGUAACUUCGGGAUAAAAGGGGCUUUAAUGCUAAAAAAAUAGGGGGUAGCGACUGUUUAAUAAAAACAUAAGAUUUUGCAAAAUUUUUGAUGAUGUAUAAAAUCUGACGCCUGCCCAGUGCUGCAAGAUAAAAAAAAAAGGUUUAAGCUUUUUUUAUAAAUCCCAGUAAACGGCGGCCGUAACCCUGACGGUCCUAAGGUAGCGAAAUUCCUUGGCGGGUAAGUUCCGUCCCGCAUGAAUGGCGUAACGACUGCCCCGCUGUCUCCAAUAUUAUACUUAUGAAUUCAAAUUAGUCGUGAAGAUGCGAUUUAAUAUAGCUAGACGGAAAGACCCUAUGCACCUUUACUAUAACCUAUUAUUUUAGUAUAAAAUUUAAUAUAUAUAGUUAUGUAGUAAAUUUAUAUUAAUAAUGGAAAACUACUUAAAUUAAAUUUAACUAUUACUCUAAUAAUAAUCAUUGUAAAUAGAUUUUGGUAGGUUGGUAGUUUGACUGGGGCGGUUACCUCCUAAAAAGUAACGGAGGUGUGCAUAAAAUUUUAAUAUUUUUUAAUAAAAAAUUAAAGUUUGAUUAAUGUACUAAUAAGUAUAUUAAGGAUAUACUAAUAUCUGCUAUAUUGACCCGAUAAUAUUUUAAGGAAAAGUUAUCGAUAAACAGAUAAAAGGUACGCUAGGGAUAACAGGCUGAUAAUUUUUGAGAGUUCUUAUCGAUGAGAUUGUUUGGCACCUCGAUGUCGACUCAUCACAUCCUAGAGGUGAAUAAUCUUCUAAGGGUUCGGCUGUUCGCCGAUUAAAGUGGUACGUGAGUUGGGUUUAGAACGUCGUGAGACAGUUUGGUCCCUAUCUACUAUAUUCAAUUAAAUUUAUAAAAUUCAACCUUAGUACGAGAGGACCGGGAAGAGUUGACCUCUGAUAAAUCUAUUGCCUAACAAAUAAAAAAGGCAUUGUAGAAAAGUUAAGUCAAUAUAUAAUAUUAAUUAUUUAAUUAAAAUUAAUUUUAUUUUAAAUUUAAUAAUAACAAAUUUUAUAAAAUAUUUUUUAUAAAUUUUUAAAUUAAUUUUUUUUAAAUUAAUUUUUUUUUUUAAAAAUUAGAAAUAAUUGGUGAAUUUUUAAUUUUUUUGUUAA
rnacentral:rRNA from 1 species